GAGACAGGCGCUCAGAACAUUCAGUCUGAAGAGUCAUAGGAACAGUUUGCCCUUUUGGUCUGAGGAUUCGGCAGAGAGCCCCCACCCGUGAUGUAGUCUCCACAAGUGGCUGUGAGGCUCCAUUAGAUCCAGCCUAGGGAAGACAGAACGUUCCCUUUUUCUUUGUGUAUGUCUGUGUGUCUGUGCCGCGUGUAUGGAAGCCCCUGGAGGCCAGAGGAGGGCUUCAGCUCUCCCGCGCCGGACACUACAGCCCAUUGCGAGCUGCCCGAGGUGGGUCCUGGGAACUGGACUCUCCUCUGAAGAGCAUCGAGUGCUUGCAAUAGUGAGACGACCUCGGGUUUGCCAUGUGUGACCCAGAAAGCAGUGGCUUUCCCUCUCCUUCAGGCAGCUGAGAUACAGCUCACCUCCCAAGUGCUUUUUCUUUUCUUUCGAGACUGCAUUUCUCCAUAUGGACC